UACGUAGGGUGCGAGCGUUGUCCGGAAUUAUUGGGCGUAAAGAGCUUGUAGGCGGCUUGUCGCGUCUGCUGUGAAAAUCCGGGGCUCAACCCCGGACUUGCAGUGGGUACGGGCAGACUAGAGUGUGGUAGGGGAGACUGGAAUUCCUGGUGUAGCGGUGAAAUGCGCAGAUAUCAGGAGGAACACCGAUGGCGAAGGCAGGUCUCUGGGCCACUACUGACGCUGAGAAGCGAAAGCAUGGGGAGCGAACAGGAUUAGA
rnacentral:rRNA from 1 species